rnacentral:rRNA from 1 species
GACGGAGGGGGCAAGCGUUGUCCGGACUUACUGGGCGUAAAGGGCCCGUAGGCGGCCUGAUGCGUCGGUGCUGAAAGCGCCCCGCUUAACGGGGUGAGGCGUGCCGAUACGAUCAGGCUCGAGGCAGGCAGAGGGUGGCGGAAUUCCGGGUGUAGUGGUGAAAUGCGUAGAGAUCCGGAGGAACGCCUGUGGCGCAAGCGGCCACCUGGGCCUGACCUGACGCUGAGGGGCGAAAGCGUGGGGAG